rnacentral:rRNA from 1 species
GUGGGGAAUUUUGGACAAUGGGCGCAAGCCUGAUCCAGCAAUGCCGCGUGCAGGAAGAAGGCCUUCGGGUUGUAAACUGCUUUUGUACGGAACGAAACGGUCCGGGUUAAUACCCUGGGCUAAUGACGGUACCGUAAGAAUAAGCACCGGCUAACUACGUGCCAGCAGCCGCGGUAAUACGUAGGGUGCAAGCGUUAAUCGGAAUUACUGGGCGUAAAGCGUGCGCAGGCGGUUUUGUAAGACAGGCGUGAAAUCCCCGGGCUCAACCUGUGAAUUGCGCUUGUGACUGCAAGGCUGGAGUGCGGCAGAGGGGGAUGGAAUUCCGCGUGUAGCAGUGAAAUGCGUAGAUAUGCGGAGGAACACCGAUGGCGAAGGCAAUCCCCUGGGCCUGCACUGACGCUCAUGCACGAAAGCGUGGGGAGCAAACAGGAUUAGAAACCCCAGUAGUCC